UUCAACUCACUUUUGACUUACAAGUAAGAUGCUAAAGAUUAAUUUUUAAUGCAUCUUUCUAGUCUUUAUAAACAUGAAGCUGAAUCAUUUUUCCUUCAAGCCUUAAGAUCAAGUGCAAAACUGAUUUGGAAGUCUUAGUUGUAGAGAAAACUCACCUCACAAAUCCUUCAUCCUUUUCUUUCAAGAAACUCCCUUUGUUUUUCUCAAAGAAGUCCAAGCUUGGAUCCAAGACCAAAAUCUUCACUUCACUUCUGAGUUUCUUAAGUAACGAGUAGAUGCAUGGGGAAAAAGGGGAUGAACCUACUAAAUAAAAGAAAGUUUUUCCUACUACUAUUUCAAGAGAAUGAGUACUGUAAUAUAUUUUGCUAAACUUUGGUAUUGUACAAAUAAUGAUGUCGUUUUCUAAUAAAAGUACUAUUCAGAUA